CUGCGAAUGGCUCAUUAAAUCAGUUAUCGUUUAUUUGAUAGUACCCUACUUACUUGGAUAACCGUGGUAAUUCUAGAGCUAAUACAUGCUGAAAAUCCCGACUUCGGAAGGGAUGUAUUUAUUAGAUUAAAAGCCAAUGCCCCUCUGGGGCUUCUUGGUGAUUCAUAAUAACUGGUCGAAUCGCAUGGCCUUGAGCUGGCGAUGGUUCAUUCAAAUUUCUGCCCUAUCAACUUUCGAUUGUUGGGUAUUGGCCAACAAUGGUGACAACGGGUAACGGAGGGUUAGGGCUCGACCCCGGAGAAGGAGCCUGAGAAACGGCUACUACAUCCAAGGAAGGCAGCAGGCGCGCAAAUUACCCAAUCCCGACUCGGGGAGGUAGUGACGAACAAUACUGAUACAGGGCCCUUUUGGGUCUUGUAAUUGGAAUGAGUACAAUUUAAAUCCCUUAACGAGGAACAAUUGGAGGGCAAGUCUGGUGCCAGCAGCCGCGGUAAUUCCAGCUCCAAUAGCGUAUAUUAAAGUUGUUGUGGUUAAAAAGCUCGUAGUUGAACCUUGGGCCUGGCUGGUCGGUCCGCCUCACCGCGUGCACUGAUCCGGCCGGGCCUUUCCCUCUGUGGAACCCCAUGGCCUUCACUGGUUGUGGUGGGGAAGCAGGACUUUUACUUUGAAAAAAUUAGAGUGUUCAAAGCAGGCCUAUGCUCGGAUACAUUAGCAUGGAAUAAUGGAAUAGGACGUGUGGUUCUAUUUCGUUGGUUUCUAGGACCGCCGUAAUGAUUAAUAGGGACAGUCGGGGGCAUCAGUAUUCAAUUGUCAGAGGUGAAAUUCUUGGAUUUAUUGAAGACUAACUACUGCGAAAGCAUUUGCCAAGGAUGUUUUCAUUAAUCAGGAACGAAAGUUAGGGGAUCGAAGACGAUCAGAUACCGUCGUAGUCUUAACCAUAAACUAUGCCGACUAGGGAUCGGACGAUGUUAUUUUUUGACUCGUUCGGCACCUUACGAGAAAUU
rnacentral:rRNA from 1 species